rnacentral:rRNA from 1 species
UAAGGAAUAUUGGUCAAUGGGCGAAAGCCUGAACCAGCCAUGCCGCGUGCAGGAUGAAGGCCCUCUGGGUUGUAAACUGCUUUUAUCUGGGAAGAAACACCCCGUUUCUACGGGGCUUGACGGUACCAGAGGAAUAAGCACCGGCUAACUCCGUGCCAGCAGCCGCGGUAAUACGGAGGGUGCAAGCGUUAUCCGGAUUUACUGGGUUUAAAGGGUGCGUAGGCGGGCCUUUAAGUCAGUGGUGAAAUCUCCCGGCUUAACCGGGAAACUGCCAUUGAUACUAUUGGUCUUGAAUUCAGUUGAGGUGGGCGGAAUGUGUCGUGUAGCGGUGAAAUGCUUAGAUAUGACACAGAACACCAAUUGCGAAGGCAGCUCGCUAAACUGACAUUGACGCUGAGGCACGAAAGCGUGGGGAUCAAACAGG